rnacentral:rRNA from 1 species
GACGAACCGUCCUAACGUUAUUCGGAAUCACUGGGCUUAAAGGGCGCGUAGGCGGACGAGCAAGUCCGGAGUGAAAUCCUUCGGCUUAACCGGAGAAGUGCUUUGGAUACUGCUCGUCUUGAGGGAGGUAGGGGCAUGUGGAACCUCUGGUGGAGCGGUGAAAUGCGUUGAUAUCAGAAGGAACGCCGGUGGCGAAAGCGACGUGCUGGCCCUCUUCUGACGCUGAGGCGCGAAAGCUAGGGGAGCAAACGGG